UACAGAGGGGGCAAGCGUUUAUUCGGAAUUAUUGGGCGUAAAGGGCGCGUAGGCGGCUUGGCAAGUGGAUGGUGAAAUCCCUCGGCUUAACCGAGGAACUGCCGUCCAAAACUGCUUCGCUUGAGACCGGGAGAGGUGAGUGGAAUUCCCAGUGUAGCGGUGAAAUGCGUAGAUAUUGGGAGGAACACCAGUGGCGAAGGCGGCUCACUGGACCGGUACUGACGCUGAUGCGCGAAAGCGUGGGGAGCAAACGGG
rnacentral:rRNA from 1 species